GGGUUGUGAGGUUAAGCGACUAAGCGUACACGGUGGAUGCCCUGGCAGUCAGAGGCGAUGAAGGACGUGCUAAUCUGCGAUAAGCGCCGGUAAGGUGAUAUGAACCGUUAUAACCGGCGAUUUCCGAAUGGGGAAACCCAGUGUGACUCGUCACACUAUCAUUAACUGAAUCCAUAGGUUAAUGAGGCGAACCGGGGGAACUGAAACAUCUAAGUACCCCGAGGAAAAGAAAUCAACCGAGAUUCCCCCAGUAGCGGCGAGCGAACGGGGAGGAGCCCAGAGCCUGAAUCAGCAUGUGUGUUAGUGGAAGCGUCUGGAAAG
rnacentral:rRNA from 1 species